rnacentral:lncRNA from 1 species
GAUUUGCGGCUUCUUCAAAGUCUUAAUGAAUUGCUGAAACAAAAAUCUGAGCAUUGUCCUUUCUUGCAUUUGAGAUACCUCAAUCUAUUGAACACCUUCUAUACCAACAUUACCUCUAACUUGUAUAGGUGAAUUAGAAGCGAUUGGCUUAUGAACUUAACAACGUGAAAAUUAAAUGUGUUGUGCUUUAUUUUCAUGAGUUUUGACAUGUGCUUUUCCUCCUAGAGAUUGGACCCUUUCACAACUAUGCCCAUUAUUUCAAGUGCCUUCCUACACUUUGUGGUUAUUUUUGUUGUUGUUUUUUGACGCUUCACUUUCACUCACAACAUUAUAUCAUCAUAUGAUACCAUCGAUUUGACUUUGUUUCACAUUGCUACCAUUUAUC